rnacentral:rRNA from 1 species
GAUGAACGCUAGCGGCAGGCUUAAUACAUGCAAGUCGUGGGGCAGCAUGAGUAGCAAUACUUGAUGGCGACCGGCAAACGGGUGAGGAACACGUACACAACCUUCCUUCAAGCGGGGAAUAGCCCAGAGAAAUUUGGAUUAAUACCCCAUAAUAUAUUUGAUAAGGCAUCUUAUUAAUAUUAAAGCUUCGGCACUUGAUGAUGGGUGUGCGGCUGAUUAGAUAGUUGGCGGGUAACGGCCCACCAAGUCUACGAUCAGUAGCUGAUGUGAGAGCAUGAUCAGCCACACGGGCACUGAGACACGGGCCCGACUCCUACGGGAGGCAGCAGUAAGGAAUAUUGGACAAUGGACGAAAGUCUGAUCCAGCCAUGCCGCGUGAAGGAUUAAGGUCCUCUGGAUUGUAAACUUCUUUUAUAUGGGACGAAAAAGGGCAUUCUUGUUCACUUGACGGUACCAUAUGAAUAAGCACCGGCUAACUCCGUGCCAGCAG